GGACUACUAGGGUAUCUAAUCCUGUUUGCUCCCCACGCUUUCGUGCCUCAGCGUCAGUAGUGGUCCAGAAAGCCGUCUACACCACCGGUGUUCCUCCUGAUAUCUACGCAUUUCACCGCUACACCAGGAAUUCCGCUUUCCUCUCCCACACUCGAGCCCGCCAGUUUCCGGCGCACCCUCCCGGUUAAGCCGGGAGAUUUCACACCAGACUUGGCGAACCGCCUACGCACUCUUUACGCCCAGUAACUCCGAACAACGCUUGCUGCCUACGUAUUACCGCGGCGGCUGGCAC
rnacentral:rRNA from 1 species